UACAGAGGAUGCAAGCGUUAUCCGGAAUGAUUGGGCGUAAAGCGUCUGUAGGUGGCUUUUUAAGUCCGCCGUCAAAUCCCAGGGCUCAACCCUGGACAGGCGGUGGAAACUACCAAGCUGGAGUACGGUAGAGGCAGGGGGAAUUUCCGGUGGAGCGGUGAAAUGCGUAGAGAUCGGAAAGAACACCAACGGCGAAAGCGGUCUGCUGGGCCGACACUGACACUGAGAGACGAAAGCUAGGGGAGCGAAUAGG
rnacentral:rRNA from 1 species